rnacentral:lncRNA from 1 species
UUCACUUAUUCCGUUUAUAUUUUUGUAAUCACUUAUUUUUGCGUAUUUCGUUACUAGUCAUAGACACGGACAUGGGGUCGACAAGGCAUAUAUUAAUUUAUUUCAGUAUAAAUAAUUAUUUUCUAAAGUACCAGAGUUAUGAUCCCAUUGUUUCCAGUUUCACAGUUUUUUUUUUUGGUGUAAAUGUUAAAAUUUUAUACCAAUUUUUUGUUUUUGACAGAAAUUACAAGAAACUGGUAGCGGAAAAAAAAAAAUCAAAACAACUAAACAACAACGAAAAACGAAAUAAAAACACAGUAAACUAGAAGAAUAACUAUGGCAAGUGACACUAAACUUAAAUAACAAAUAGCGCUCGCUGUCUAGGUUUGCUAUGCACUAAUAGCAAGAGUCUCAUUGUUACGGUCGCUAAGUUGCCACGAGCAUAGGAGAAUUGGCCGCCCUCUAACCAUACCUUUGCCUACAGCUUCCUCACGACCACGCCUUUGAUAACCUGCAAAUUCAGUACACACAACAUCUACCACUGACGGCGGCUCUUAUGGAUGCAUUCGGAGUGAAUGCCUCAACCCGGUCGAAACCGGAGGUUCCAGAUAAAGGCGAAGAUGUAUGCCUCGGCUCCACCGAUCUAGCCAAAACCUUUGCCGCACAGUUAGCUAGACUGUGCUACCGCUUGAACCAUCCACUCAUCCAUCGAUUUCCACCGCAGUAAACAGAGUUGUUUCUCACACCAAACAUUGAUUGACUAAUAAGCUUCUUCUUGACUAGAUCACGCCGAGCUCUCCUGCAAGACUACUGCUCUUAUUCGGUAGAGGUGAGAAGCUUGAGUUCACCACACCGACGGACUUGCUCAAAGAAGAAGAAGCUUCAUCCCUGUGAAAUUUGUGUCCACGCAGCACACCUACACACAAACAACGAAGCAAACAUGUCGCCACCAGCUAUCCAUACGCGUCGGAAUAGCCACUCACGUCACUGCAACACCACAGAUCUUCUUAUUGAGCACAGCCAGCAAAGAAGAAGAGAGCAGACACUACACAACAGUCUGCUCUCCAAGUCCUAGCUCAAGGUCAAGAACCAGACAUGAGAACAAAAUCAGGGAACAAACGCCACUUCCCCAAUCCGAACUCCGAGAUCCAGCUAACCAACGACGGCCCCCGCCACAUCUCACCUCGAGAAUCCUCUAACCAACUCAUGGAAAAAUCACCGGGAUCUAACCUGACUGGCAAAACGCAGAGACAAAGAGCAAGUACAGUCCUCCAGCACUGCCUAACCCCUGCUUGAAGCCAGAUCUGAGUAAAUCUUCCGGAUUUGAGUCGAGAAGAGCGAAACUCUCAACGCCGAGCUUUCCACCUCCGUCUACUUGUACUGUCUCGCCGAAUCACCACCGACCUUUCUACGCCACCACCAACCUAACCACGACGGCAAGAGGAGAUGAGAGAGUUAUGAGCAGGGACACGAGCAUAUCAACAGGAAGGAGGAGAAGGUGAGAAGCCAAAAGUGAAAAGGAAGAUAAACACAAGGAGGCCGGUGGUAACGGCGACUGCCGACAACCACCGCCAAGAUCUAGAUUUAGACGGCUGAGUUUAGAGAAAAAGGAGAAAAGAGAGAGAGAGGGUUUUGAGGUCUCCUGUUCGACCUAAGUUCAUAACAUAUUAGGACAAACUUGCUUUGUUAAAAAUAUUCAUCUGCAGGAUUGUACUCUGCAGGAUUACAACUCAUCCUCUAUUUUUAUUUUUCGGUUUAUUUAUGAGAGCCGAGAGAAAAUUGUUAAAAUCUGUUACAAAUAUGUUUGAAAUAAACCGUGAUGUUAAAAAGGAAAAGAGCUAAGGUUUUAAAUCGAUUUGUUUUAAAGAAGAUUGCCAAAUUUCAGUUCAGAUAUUACAAGGACAAGUACAGUAUAUUUCCAUUCUGAACUUGAUAGGUUGCAUCAAAGAUUGGCUUUUCAAAUUUAACCAGUGCUAAUUGUGUUCUAAACGUUAAGCUUAUGAGCCGGCACACUUCUUAGCUUGCCAAGUUGACAAUUUUAUUUCUCUGGUUAUGUUUAUCCUUCAUGGCUAACUAAUUAAACU